GACGAACGCUGGCGGCGUGCCUAAUACAUGCAAGUCGAGCGCAGGAAGCCGUCUGAACCCUUCGGGGGGGACGACGGUGGAAUGAGCGGCGGACGGGUGAGUAACACGUAAAGACCCUGCCCAUAGGUCUGGGAUAACCACGAGAAAUCGGGGCUAAUACCGGAUGUGUCCUCGGACCGCCUGGUCCGCUGAUGAAAGGCGCUCCGGCGUCGCCCACGGAUGGCUUUGCGGUGCAUUAGCGAGUUGGUGGGGUAACGGCCCACCAAGGCGACGAUGAAGAGCCGACCUGAGAGGGUGAGCGGCCACACUGGGACUGAGACACGGCCCAGACUCCUACGGGAGGCAGCAGUAGGGAAUCUUCCACAAUGGACGAAAGUCUGAUGGAGCAACGCCGCGUGAACGAUGAAGGCUUUCGGGUCGUAAAGUUCUGUUGUAAGGGAAGAACAAGUGCCGCAGGCAAUGGCGGCACCUUGACGGUACCUUGCGAGAAAGCCACGGCUAACUACGUGCCAGCCGCCGCCGUAAAAC
rnacentral:rRNA from 1 species